rnacentral:SRP_RNA from 1 species
GCCAGGCGUGGUGGUGCAUGCCUGUAAUCCCAGCUACUCGGAGGCUGAGGCAGAAGAAUAGCCUGAACCCAGGAGGCGGAGCUUGCAGUGAGCGGAGAUGGUGCCACUGCACUCCAGCCUGGGUGACAAAGCAAGACUCCGUCUCAA